rnacentral:lncRNA from 1 species
AGGCUUCAUGUUUUAAUCAAUGUUGCUACCACUCUUACCACCAGAUAGAUCUACACAAAGGUAAACUGAGAUGAUCUCUUAGGCAGAAGUUCUUCCCUGUGAGGGUGCUGAGGCGCUGGCACAGGGUGCCCAGAGAAGCUGUGGCUGCCCCAUCCCUGGCAGUGUUCAAGGCCAGGUUGGACACAGGGGCUUCGAGCGAGCUGCUCUAGUGGAAGGUGCGGGUGAGGCUGCUCCGGGGCAGGGUCCCCCCACAGCCGCCGGUGGCGCGCUGCAGGCGGGCGGUGCGGCGGGAGGGGGAGCCCGAGGCCCCGGCCCCGGCCGCGGCGGCGGCUCCACCCUCGCUGUGUGUCACAGGUAGGAGAGCGCGGCCGCCACCGCCCCGCGGGCCCUGCCGCCCCGCCCCGCCCCGCCCCGCCCCGCCCCGCGCUCGGCCGAGGAGUGGCCUCCGCGGAGCCGGUGUCCGGCGGCCGCAGCCCCCCGCCGCGCCCGCAGCCCGCCCCCCCCGCCGCUCCCGGCCCAUUCCGGCCCGGCCGCCGUGCGCCCGGAGCCGGCAGCCCCGUCCUGCGGCGGGAGCAGCACCCGGCGCGCUGCAGGAGCCUUCCCGAGGCGCUUCGGCUCCGUUCCCCGGCUCGGUGGGUGCCUGCGUACACGUCGCCUUCAGCCGUUCCGGCCCGGAGCUCUCUGUCGGCAGGAACGUUCUCCUGGAAUCUCGCUGGAGCCUCUCUCGGGCUGCGGAGCUUCACUCGCACCUACCUACCUGCGUGCUGCCUGCCGGCGGGAGAAAGGGAGCUCUCGCUCUUCUCUUAACCGUCGCGUUUAUUAGAAAUACCACAGGUUUUAGGUUCUAUUUUUGAAUUUAAGACCAUCACCAGACCCACGCGCUUUUCUCAAGCUACUAGAAACCACUUUUGCCCAGGAUUUACAGCAGCGUUUCCCGGCUCCGGUGGCCUCCAGCCGGCAGCAGCCCAACAGGUUUGCGGAGCUUUUCUCUUUGCUUUUUCUUUCCAAUCCCUUUUUCUCCCCAUAGCAGCAAUCGCUGUAAAUUUGGCUUUAAUUGACAACAUCCUCUGCCCGAAUCCUCCCAGGUAUGAAGUCUCCUCCUCGAGAUGUUUCGUGGGACCUGCGCACAGACCAGAGAACUUCUUAUUUUAUUCUGUGGGGCCUUUAGUUGGGUUCUUCAUGUGCGUUUGGAAGUGGCUGCACAGAAAUAGUGGAAGAGGAACCAGAUAUGCUGUCACUUUGUGCUUUAUACCCAUUUGGCAUCUAAACUUUUGAAGUGUUUUGGGGCCUUUUUGUUUCCUGGGAACUUGAAGCUAUGAAGAGAAGCUCUGUGCUUUAUUGAUUAGUCUGGAGAACUGCACC